UACAUCGGCCGUGAAUCGAACCCUGGCCGCCCGCGUGGCAGGCGAGCAUUCUACCACUGAACCACCGAUGC